CCGCUCUCCCCGCCCCGGGGGCGGCCCCGCCGCUCCUCCCGCCUCUCCCGGCCACCAGCAGCACCACCACCGCCAUGGAGGGGCAGCAGGAGGAGCAUGAGGAGCAGAAGGAGAACCGCCCGCAGCCCGCCCGCCCGCCGCCGCCUCCCGCCGCCCGCCCGCCGGGCAAGCAGCACGGCUGGGGCUGGUGAGCAAGGCACUGAGGGGAAGAGCCCCGGCUCGGGUCAGGGCGCCUUCAGCGACCCGGUGUACAAGGAGAUCGCCGUCACCAACGGCUACAUCAACAGGAUGAGCCGAGAAGAGCUCAGAAGUAAACUUGCAGAGUUCAAGCUUGAAACCAGAGGAGUAAAAGAUGUGCUGAAGAAGAGACUGAAGAAUUAUUACAAGAAACAGAAGCUGAUGCAGAAGGAAGUUCUUAAUUCAGACGGCUACUAUGACUAUAUCUGCGUUGUUGACUUCGAAGCAACCUGUGAAGAAGGAAACCCACCUGAAUUCGUACAUGAAAUAAUUGAGUUUCCCAUUGUCUUAUUGAACACUCAUACCCUGGAAAUAGAGGAUACGUUUCAGCAGUAUGUGAAGCCAGAGGUUAAUCCCAAACUUUCAAAUUUCUGUAUUGGUCUGACAGGAAUCACCCAGGACAUCAUUGAUAAAGCUGAUGCAUUUCCUCAAGUUCUACAGAACGUCAUAGAGUGGAUGAGACAGCGAGAACUGGGAACAAAGUACAGCUAUUGCAUGUUGACAGAUGGAUCUUGGGAUAUGAGUAAAUUUCUGAAUAUCCAGUGCCGUGUUAGCCGUAUUAAAUACCCUUCGUUUGCCAAAAAGUGGAUCAAUAUUCGCAAAUCAUAUGGGAACUUCUAUAAGGUUCCUAGGAACCAGACCAAGCUGACAAUCAUGCUUGAAAAGCUGGGGAUGACCUACGACGGGAGACCCCACAGUGGACUUGACGACUCUAAAAACAUUGCAAGGAUAGCUAUAAGGAUGCUGCAGGAUGGCUGUGAACUGCGAGUGAAUGAGAAAAUGCAUGCGGGACAGCUCAUGACAGUCUCCUCUUCAACCCCCAUAGAGGGAGCCCCUGCUCCACAGAUGCCCCGUUACAGAAACUAACAGUUCAGGGCUUCUGCAUUAGGAACUGCUCUCAGAUACCCACUACAGAUUGUUAAUAGCUUGUCAAACGGCAACCUCUGCAAACCUCUCGGCAAUUCAGAACCUGAAGGCACCUUAACUAAUGGUCUUUGUUGAAAAAAAAGAGUGUGGAAGCUUUUUGAAGCCUGUGUUACAACGUUGGUUUUUUAUACUGAUGAUUUUUUUGUUGUUGUUGUAACUGGUUUUUGCACCUUUUCCAGCAGUAAGGCUGAUAUGCAAAAUCCAGGCAAAGUGGUAAGCUUUUAAGGACAUGGAAUUUAAACACAUGCAAAGAUUGGUUAGGCUUGUGUGCUACUGUUCCACACCAGCUUGUGGGGAGUAUUUAUUCAUUAUUCCAUACUAUAAUGAUAUCUAGCAUAUCAUUAUUAAUUGCAUCCAAACAAGAUGUUGCUAGAAGAGCUGAAAUAAAGAUUGGCUGGGCUGGCCUCUGCUGAUAAGGCAAUCUCAUUAGGAUUCCUGCUGAUAAUUGUUUUUCACAAAGUCUGAGAAAUUGGAGCAUCUUCAUCAACUCUAAAGCAAUAGAGAAGUAGUGUGGGUUUCUUUCUUUCUUUUUUCUUUUUUUUUUCUUUUUAAUCUAAGGGAUAUGCUUGUCUUUGACCACAUCAAUUAUACAAGCUGUGCGUUGAAUAAAAAAUCCAUUCAUGCAGUAUGGCAUUAAUUUUCUUAACCCAUAUUUAAAAAGAGGAGGUGCUUUGGAACUUCACUUUGAGGAUCAAAUUUCCUGUGCCUGCUACACUCAAGCUAAAUCAAAUGAAGGACAGCCUAUUUGAACAUUUGUCAUCUAUUUUGACUUAAAAACGAAGUGAAAUAAAAGCCCCAGAUGAUACUCAAAUGUGGCCAAACCAUUCAUUUACUUUACCUCAGUGGGCUAUGGCAAAGUACAGCUUCAAUGUGAUCAGCUUUGCAUUAGAAUGGCUUGUUCUGAAAAGCAGAAUUUUGAUUGCUCUCGGUCAAAAAAAAAAAAAAAGUUUGUUUGGUAUCCCUGUAUUAUAAUUCAUUCUUUCUUUCUGCUGCUUAUUUUAAAGAAACAGAACUAAUAAUUCAUGAUAAAGCCUUGUUUGUUUAGGACAUUUACUGCUUGGCUAGUCAAACUCCUCUUGGUUCCCCUUGUUCUUCUGUCUGUUAACUGUUUCAGUGGUAACCUGAAAACAUUAUUAUAAAUUCAUGUGAGAGAUAAAUACUGGUCAAUUCUCCAAUGAUUUGUAGGAAUAAGGCAGUUUUCUUUCCACUCAUAGCUACAGGCACUGCUGUGGGCACUUGGGGACAGCUACUUUAGGAUGGUCGUUCUUUUCCUGUGAGUGAAUAUUUGUUUUACUUGUAGCCUUUUGUUGAACUUCACAUUUUCCUCUUUCUGUAGAAAUACUUGAUGUAUUUUCAGAAAGAUAAAAUCUCUGUUACACUUACUCUGACCACUUAAUUCUAGUCCCGUAUUUUCUACAAACUGUUACUUACAUAUUUGUUCUCUGUAGAGAUAAUAUUCUCUUCUGGAAUUGUGAAAAAACAUAGUAACUUCUUCCGUCUCAGAA